AGUACGCCCCUGGCGUAGCUGCGCAUCUUCCAUCCAACAAUCUGGCCCACUCAUACCAGCCCAACCAGGAACAAUAGAGCGAACAGAAGACAACCCACGUUGAAUUAGAUGUUGUGCAAACCAAGAAAUUAACUAAAUCUAAACAUAACUUUAUUGUAUAUUUACGUUGAUUUGUAACGUGGCAACUUAUAGUAGUGCCGGCUUAAAACUAAAUGAAUUCAUUCUAACCUAAAGCUACGCUACUCUAAACAUACAUGCAAGAUAUAUGUACGAUCACAGAAGAUAGCAUAGACAGCGCCAAGCAUCGACCUUUAUCAUUGACCCUAUGUACAAACUUACCGUGGACCCUGCACAGUGGGACUAAACGAAUAU